GGCAAAAUGGCUGAGUUUAGGCGACAAAUUGUAGCUUUGUUAAUGAAUUUUUUUUCUUUUGUCA
rnacentral:tRNA from 1 species